rnacentral:rRNA from 1 species
UACGGAGGGUGCAAGCGUUAUCCGGAUUUACUGGGUUUAAAGGGUGUGUAGGCGGACUUUUAAGUCAGCGGUGAAAUCUCCGGGCUCAACCCGGAAACUGCCAUUGAUACUAUUGGUCUUGAAUGUUGUUGAGGUGGGCGGAACGGGUCAUGUAGCGGUGAAAUGCGUAGAUAUGACCCGGAACACCGAUUGCGAAGGCAGCCCACUAAGCAAUGAUUGACGCUGAGGCACGAAAGCGUGGGGAUCAAACAGG